rnacentral:rRNA from 1 species
UACGAAGGGGGCUAGCGUUGCUCGGAAUCACUGGGCGUAAAGCGCACGUAGGCGGCUUUCUAAGUCAGGGGUGAAAUCCUGGAGCUCAACUCCAGAACUGCCUUUGAUACUGGGAAGCUCGAGUCCGGAAGAGGUAAGUGGAACUCCGAGUGUAGAGGUGAAAUUCGUAGAUAUUCGCAAGAACACCAGUGGCGAAGGCGGCUCACUGGCCCGGUACUGACGCUGAGGCACGAAAGCGUGGGGAGCAAACAGG